GAGCACGCCGCGUGAGUGAUGAAGGUUUUCGGAUCGUAAAACUCUGUUGUUAGGGAAGAACAAGUACCGUUCGAAUAGGGCGGUACCUUGACGGUACCUAACCAGAAAGCCACGGCUAACUACGUGCCAGCAGCCGCGGUAAUACGUAGGUGGCAAGCGUUGUCCGGAAUUAUUGGGCGUAAAGCGCGCGCAGGCGGUUUCUUAAGUCUGAUGUGAAAGCCCCCGGCUCAACCGGGGAGGGUCAUUGGAAACUGGGGAACUUGAGUGCAGAAGAGGAGAGUGGAAUUCCACGUGUAGCGGUGAAAUGCGUAGAGAUGUGGAGGAACACCAGUGGCGAAGGCGACUCUCUGGUCUGUAACUGACGCUGAGGCGCGAAAGCGUGGGGAGCGAACAGGAUUAGAUACCCUGGUAGUCCACGCCGUAAACGAUGAGUGCUAAGUGUUAGAGGGUUUCCGCCCUUUAGUGCUGCAGCAAACGCAUUAAGCACUCCGCCUGGGGAGUACGGUCGCAAGACUGAAACUCAAAGGAAUUGACGGGGGCCCGCACAAGCGGUGGAGCAUGUGGUUUAAUUCGAAGCAACGCGAAGAACCUUACCAGGUCUUGACAUCCUCUGACAACCCUAGAGAUAGGGCUUCCCCUUCGGGGGCAGA
rnacentral:rRNA from 1 species